rnacentral:misc_RNA from 1 species
AAGUCGUAACAAGGUUUCCGUAGGUGAACCUGCGGAAGGAUCAUUAUCGAAUUACCGAGGGUUGAUGCUGGCAGUUUAUGAUUGCAUGUGCUCGCUCUCUUUAAUCCACUUUCACAUGUGCACUCAAUUUUUGAAGGUGGGGGCAGACCCCCUGGCCUUUGAAACUUACAAACUCUUAUUUGAUGUGAUGAAUGCUUGUCUGCCGAAAGGCAUUAAAAAAAUCUGAUACAACUUUUAACAACGGAUCUCUUGGCUCUC